UUGCAGCUAAAAAGCUCGUAGUUGGAUUUCUGUGUUGGUGAGGCGGCCAGCCACUCGUGGUUGUAGCUAGUUAUCACCGGCGCAUCUUGUCACAAGCCACGCUGGCCUUAACUGGUUGGCGUUGGGGACUGACUCGUUUACUUUGAGAAAAUUAGAGUGUUCAAAGCAGGCUAUCGCCUUGAAUAUGUUAGCAUGGAAUAAUGAUAUAGGACUUUGGUUCUAUUUUGUUGGUUGUUCGAGAACCGAAGUAAUGAUUGAUAGGGACAGUUGGGGGCAUCAGUAUUCUGAAGCGAGAGGUGAAAUUCUUGGACCUUCGGAAGACUAACAACUGCGAAAGCAUUUGCCUAGGAUGUUCUCUUUAAUCAAGAACGAAAGUUGGGGGAUCGAAGACGAUCAGAUACCGUCGUAGUCUCAACUAUAAACUAUGG
rnacentral:rRNA from 1 species